GACGAACGCUGGCGGCGUGCCUAAUACAUGCAAGUAGAACGCUGAAGAGAGGAGCUUGCUCUUCUUGGAUGAGUUGCGAACGGGUGAGUAACGCGUAGGUAACCUGCCUGGUAGCGGGGGAUAACUAUUGGAAACGAUAGCUAAUACCGCAUAAAAUUGAUUAUUGCAUGAUAAUUAAUUGAAAGAUGCAAUUGCAUCACUACCAGAUGGACCUGCGUUGUAUUAGCUAGUUGGUGAGGUAACGGCUCACCAAGGCGACGAUACAUAGCCGACCUGAGAGGGUGAUCGGCCACACUGGGACUGAGACACGGCCCAGACUCCUACGGGAGGCAGCAGUAGGGAAUCUUCGGCAAUGGGGGGAACCCUGACCGAGCAACGCCGCGUGAGUGAAGAAG
rnacentral:rRNA from 1 species